rnacentral:lncRNA from 1 species
ACAUGGUAGGGGAGCUGGAGGAACCUGCCGUCUCUGCCAUCGAGUGCCCCUCCGAGCUGGGGUUGGACGCUGCCCGUUUGCAUAGGAGCAGGUUGGAUCUAUGAACACGAGACACAGAAACACCAGCUGGAGGAGCCCAGGAGGCCUAGCGGGUGAGGUUAUCCACAGAACAGGGACGCCGCCCUAGUCCAUGGAUCACUGAGUGCCCGGACCAGGGCUUCAGGGGGUUCCAGCUGAGGCUUUGUGAACCGGAUCCUGGGUCACUGAGUACCCAGACUGGGCUCAGGAGGUUCUGGCCGAGGCUGUGUGAACUGGAUCCUGGGUCACUGAGUGCCCGGACCAGGGGUUCAGGAGGUUCCGGCCAAGGCUUUGUGAACCGGAUCCUGGGUCACUGAGUACCCAGACUGGGCUCAGGAGGUUCUGGCUGAGGCUUUGUGAACCGGAUCCUCCUCUUUGCAUUUCAAACAGCAGGAACCAUCUUAGUCCAUGGGCCACUGAGUGCCCGGACCAGGGCCCCGGGGCUUCCUGACAGCAGGAACAACAGGAGUCAUUCAAACCCUGGAGCCCAGAGGCCAGGACGGGAGUGGCCUUUGCUCCCCCAUGGGCAGGCCAGGGAGGUGGACAGGCCGGGAGCCUGAAGCCUGAGCAGCCGGAGGCUCGCUCAUUUUCCUGUGGUCACUGUGUUCCCGGAGCCUCAACAUGAGGCCAAUUGUCCCACGGGGCGGUGCCUG